CGGAGGGGCUAGCGUUGUUCGGAAUUACUGGGGCGUAAAGCGCGCGUAGGCGGUUCUUCAAGUCAGAGGUGAAAGCCCGGUGCUCAACACCGGAAUUGCCUUUGAAACUAGGGAACUUGAAUCCAGGAGAGGUGAGUGGAAUUCCGAGUGUAGAGGUGAAAUUCGUAGAUAUUCGGAAGAACACCAGUGGCGAAGGCGGCUCACUGGACUGGUAUUGACGCUGAGGUGCGAAAGCGUGGGGAGCAAACAGGAUU
rnacentral:rRNA from 1 species